UACAGAGGUGGCAAGCGUUGUUCGGAAUUACUGGGCGUAAAGGGCUCGUAGGUGGCCAACUAAGUCGGACGUGAAAUCCCUCAGCUUAACUGGGGAACUGCGUCCGAUACUGGAUGGCUUGAGUUUGGGAGAGGGAUGCGGAAUUCCAGGUGUAGCGGUGAAAUGCGUAGAUAUCUGGAGGAACACCGGUGGCGAAGGCGGCAUCCUGGACCGAGAUUGACGCUGAGGCGCGAAAGCUAGGGUAGCAAACGGG
rnacentral:rRNA from 1 species